CUUCUCUUUGUGUUCUUUUGGAUGUUGGCAAAAUAUGCCAGAGAUAAUCCUAAAUUGGCAAACAAGAAAUUGAAGUAUAUAAAAAAUUGCACAGAGAUUAUAGGUUGCGCCAUAAGAAGAGAAACUGAAGGUGAUUUAGGUCGUUAGGGAGAAGGGAGAGGGUAAUCAAACUAAUUAGCAAAAGGUUGUAAUCUGAAUUUCUUUCCCUAUCCAAACACUUCAUAACAAAACCCAUAUAAUAAAUAGCGCCCCAAAAUUCUAAUUAUUAGAAGAAAAAAAAAACCCAAUCUCAUAUACAAGUUUCCAACAACCAAUAACCAUGAUAAACCAAUUAAUUAUGCUAAUAAAAGAAAUAUGAGAGAUUACCAAUUAUUAUAGGAAUUACCAUGAGAAUUAAGUUGAUCCCAAAUGCAUCGGUACAGUUGGCUCGACUUCCAUGCGAAAUGGGGAUAGGAACCUAGGGAAGGAAGAAGUUAAAAAGAGAAGGGAGCUUGUUAAAAUACCAUUUUGCCCUUACUCAAUAGUGGCACGAGAUAGGGUUAUUUAGGGCAUUUGGAUAACUAUUAGACUGUAACCGCUUGAACGACGCUGUAUCUCAUACUUCAAAGUUCAAAUAUAAAAGGCAACCUUCCCUCCAUUUCUCAAACCCAAAAAGAAAUUGGAGAAGUAAACGCUGCAGCUCGGAGCUCUUUGCUCUCCUCCGAUGAACAGAAGUGCGUGGGACGAUUCUAGAUCGAACUUUCAAAUUUGACUAUAAUCACCUUCAAAUUUUAUGAGUAUUUCAAUAGUAGUUUAUAGCUUUUCCUCCACCAAUUAUCAAAAUCAGAGAAGUAAACGCUACAGCUCGGAACUCUCUGCUCUCCUCCGACAAAUAGAAUUGUGAAGGACGAUUUGGAUCCAGUAGAGCGUGACAUGAAGACGGAAGCGGUGUUUUGUCCAAUUGACAAAACAUAAAUUUUCGUUUGCAGAAAGAUUGACGUGAAGGUAAAUGUUAAAAAAAAAAAAUUCUUGAUUUUUUUUUAAAAGGGGACAACUUGUGGCAAGUCACGGUUAUCCACCUUUUCGGGGGUCGGGAAGACUCACAGAGCCAUUUCAGCCUCCUUCUGACCACAAGUCUGGCUUCUAUACCAGCAGCGGGUUUCGAACCUAAGACCUCCAGUUUUUAAUGGCUUUUGCAUCAGCAGCAGGUUUCGAACUCAAAACCUCAAGUUUUUAAUUUGAAGGAAACCUCACAAUCCGACAUUUUAUCACCCGGCCACUAACUCGUGGUUUUGUCUUGAUUUUAUUAAAAUUUUACUUUGUUUUUUAAACGUUUUUAAUAAUCUAAUUUUUGUUUUCUUAUCAAGCCAUCAAAAUACCAAAAGGGAAUACAAACUCCUAGGUUAGUUAAAUUACUUUCUUUUUUUUUUUGUAUUUUUUUCUUUUUGUUUUGUAAAUUUUAUUUAGUUUGUUUAUCUAUUUAUAUAUUUUAGUAGUUUAACUUAUUGUUAUUAAUGAGUUAAUAGGAAAAUGAGCUUUUGGAUUUGUCGUGGCUUGUACUCACAUCUUGAAUGACAACAAUUAUGUUGUGAAAUGGGUACUAUACGGGUAGGACAAUCUUCCAUUUCAGAAGGUGCAUAGGUAAAAAAAUUAUAAUAUUUUAUUAUGGAUUUUUCUCUUCAAUGGUCCUUGAAAUUUACUUAUCCCAUUAAGAUGAUUCUUAAAAUUGAAAAUCGAUUAAUGUUAUAAUUUCGUAAAAAAUUCUGUUAUGGGUUGAUGUGACAUAUAAACGGAUUCCACAUAGUUAAUUAAAUAUUAUUAUGUAAAUUAAAAAUAUUUAAAUAGUAAAAAAACAUAUUCUAUUUUUUAUAAUUAUGAACUUUAAAAAUAAAAAGAAAAGGAAAAAACAGAAGAUGAGUGAACACUAUUCAUCAUCUUCUUCCCAUGAAUUUGGGGCAAUGGGGCAAUGGAGUCCAAGAUAUUACACACUACUGACUGCUUUCCCGUUCUUUCUCCCUCAGCGUCCCUCCUUCCUUAUUUUUGUUCAACAGCCACAAACUCUCUACUUCUUCUUCACUCUUCAAAUUGAACCUCUCGUCAAAACUCAGGUGCCAAAAAAGCGUGGCAGUUUCUCUUCAAAUUGAACCUCACGAAAAUGCUGAAUUUUGCUGCCGCUUUCUUGCCUUUGGAGAUCCAAUUCCUAGGCUCACCACCUUCGUCUUCUUCUUCACCCAAGGCUUCAUCAAGACUGGAUUCCAAUUUCGAAUUGCGUAUCAGGCUGAUCACAUUAUCAAAACCGGAUGCCCAAGGCUUCAUAAGAUCGAACUCCGACUUCGAAUCCAGUGACUCCAAAUUCACGGUAAGAAGAUGAUGAACAAUGUUCAAUCAUCUCCAUUUUCUUUUCAAAGUUUUUAAUUAUAAAAAUAUAAAAAUUGUUUUUUAUUGUUUAAAUAUAUUUAAUUCACAUAAUAAUAUUUAAUUAAAUGUGUGGAAUCUAUUUAUGUGUCACAUCAGCACAUAACAGAAUUUUUGAUGCAAUUAUAAUGUAAGGACUACAUUGAUUUGCGACACUUAUUUUCAAGGACUACAUUGAUUGAUUUUCAAUUUCAAAGAUCAUCGUGAUGAGAUAGGCAAAUUUCAGAAACCAUUUGUAAGGAAAACCCAUAUUAAAAUAUUAUAAAUUUUUUUACCUCUGCAGCUUCUGAAAUGAAAGAUUGUCAUGUCCGAAUCGUACCCAUUUCUCAGCAUAAUUGUUGCCGCUCAAGAUAUGAGUACAAGCCACAACAAAUCCAAAAGCUCAUUUUCAUAUUAACUCAUAAAUAACAAUAAGUUAAACUACUAAAAUAUAUAAAUAGAUAAGCAAACCAAAUAAAAUUUACAAAAUAGAAAGAAAAAAAUACAAAAAAAUCAAGUAAUUUAACUAACCUAAGAGUUUGCCGUGUAUGUAUUCACUUUGUAUUUUGAUGGCUUGAUAAGAAAACAAAAAAUUAAAUUAUUAAAAACAUUAAAAGUUUAAAAUAUAAAGUAAAACCUUAAUAAAAUUAAGACAAAAAAUAAAUUAAAACAUUUAUCUUUCAGCCAAUCUUUUUGCAAACAAAAAUUUCUAUUUUGUCAAUCGGACAAAACACCGCUUCCGUCUCCAUGUCACACUCUACUGCAUCCAAAUCGUCGCUCACAGUUCUGUUUGUCAGAGGAGAGCAAAGAGCUUCGAGCUGCAACGUUUACUUCUCUGAUUUAGAGAAUUGGUGGAGUAAAAGUUAUAAACUAUUAUUGAAAUACUCAUAAAAUUUGAAGGCGAUAAUAGUCAAACCUGAAAGUCCGAUCUAGAAUCAUCCCUCGCAUUCUGUUUGUUAGAGGAAAGCAGAGAGCUCUUAGCUAUUGUGUAUACUUACCGAUUUCUUUCUGGGUUUGAGAAAUGGAAGGAAAGUUGCCUCUUAUAUUUGAACUUUGAAGUAUGAGAUACGGCGUCGUUCGGGUGGUUAUAGUUUGAUAAUUAUCUAAAUGACCCUAUCCUGUGCUAUUAUGGAGUAGGGGCAAAAUGAUACUUUAACAAGCUCCCAUCUCUUCUUAACUUCUCCCUUCCCUGGGUUCCCGUCCCCAUUUCGCAUGUAAGCCGAGCUGACUGUACCGAUAGAUUUGAGAACGACUUAGUUCUCAUGGUGUGGUAAUUCCUAUAUUAAUUGGUAAUAUCUCUCAUAUUUUUUUAUUAGCGUAAUCAAUUGGUUUAUCAUGGUUGUUGGAAACUUGUAUAUGAGAUUGGUGUUUUUUUUUCUAAUAAUUCUGAGAAUUUUGGGGUGCUAUUUACUAUAUGGGUUUUGUUAUGAAGAGUUUGGAUAGGAAAAGAAAUUCAGAUUACAGCCUUUUGCUAAUUAGUUUGAUACCUCUUCUAAGUUCAAGCCUUUUUGUUUUCCAGUGCCAAUCUUGAUGUUUUGGAGAUUGACAUUAUGAUCACUUUUGUUUUCAUAUGUGUGUGUGUGCAGUGUGUGUAAAUUUUUUGGAAUUAUAAGUGGAGCAAAUUACCUGAAAUGAUUUACUCAGUUAUAUCUGCAGGAUUAUUAUUUUGAGAUAUAAGAGUGGUCGCGAUUGCAAAUGAUUUUCAUGUGCACUUCUUUAUGAUGAGUCAUCCAUUACGGAGAUUCAUUUAUCAGUACCGCUUCUCCCUAUUAUGGAUGGUUGUUUAAUAGUGUCUCCAUUCUUUCCUUUAAUGGUUUGAUAUCAUUUUACAAUCAACACAUCCUUCAGUUUCCAAUCAGGGACAAAAGUUAUCGGUCUUGUAUUCAAGUUUUUAAUCCCCUUUCAAUCACUGUAGGUAUUCUUACACAAAUGAUCUAACCUAAUUUAGUUCAUUUCCUCCAUUUUUACUCCCUUCCCUUCUCCCUAACAUCCUAAAUCACCUUCAGUUUCUCUUCUUAUGGCGCAACCUGUAAUCUAUGUGCAACUUUCAGCGGUUAAUCCAUUUUCUAGGUUCUGAUGCUGAGAAGUGGAAGUUGAAUUUUUGUGACAAAAAGCCCAUUUGUUGUAAAAUUCAACACUGACCCAUUGGGGAUGAUAUAAAGGGUAUUCAGGGUUGACCUCGACUGAUUUUGGAGGCGAGGCAUCUGAUUAUUGAUUUCUUAAUCAGAAGGCAGCCAAAUCCAGUUGGGUCCAGAUAUCUUAUAAACCAAUGUGAUGAUAAAAUCAGGCCGGAAGAGGGUCAGUCCAAGUGAAUCCAUGCCCUUGGGGACCCAAUGAGCCAGCAUCAAGCAAGACAUGCCAAUUGUUCUUUUAAGCCGGUGCCAAUGCCAUCCAUUGGAUAUAAUUUUGAGAUACAUAAGUGGUCUGGAAAGAGCUGGGAAUCAUAUGUUCUGAUCGCGAAUAAUGUUCAAGUGCAGUUCUUCAUAAUGAGCCAUUAUGGCCUGAAAACACUAUCUUAUCCGUAUACAGACAGAGAUUUCGGUCGCAAUCUCUUGUAUAGGUCUUUACUACAGCACUCUGUGGCCGGCUAAUGAUGAUACGUGUGUUCAACUCAAUUACGUACACUUGCACCAUAAUUAUAACUACUGGACCAAAUUCUGGAAUGAUGGUAUUCUAAAACCCAGUAUAGUUCUAGGUCAGCCGCGCAACAUAUCUGACUAUUAUCUUGACUGUUGUAAUGGGAUAAUUCUGUUCUUCAACGUACGCACUAGUCAAUUUUGUGUGUUCAACCCCAUCACCAAACAACAUAUCUCCAUACCUAUAGCAUGCGCACAUGAGCGUGAGCAUUUUUACGCUGCCUUGGCUUUUGACCCUAUUGAAUCCAACCACCACAGAAUUGUUCGAAUUGAUUAUUCCCCAAUCCAAAUCCAGUGGUUCCAGAGUCCCAACGCCAACCCUAACCGUGAUGACGGACAUAUUUUGCAUUCUGGACAGUGUGUUUGUCGUGGGUUACAACUCGACCCCAUGUUCAUUGAUGGGUUUAAAAGUUCCAAGGUUUGCAGGCAUUUUGUAUACUUGUGGGGGGGUGUUGUAUGGCCUUGCUAGUUCACAGAAAGUUUUGUGUAUUGACCUCAAUACCAUUAAAGCUCGAGCCUUUGAACGCCCUCGUGUUCUUGGGGACGAUGAUAAGACGGGUGCAACAAUGGGAUGUCUUGGGGUGUCAAAUGAUCUUGUUUGUUAUGUAACCAUGUGAUGGUUCAAAUACUUUUUGUUUUUGGUCUUAUAAUGAUCGGCGUGAAUCUGGUGACCAAUGGACUCUCAAAUAUAGUGUUGUUAGGAAUAGUUUGGUAUGGGGGGCGGAUACAAUGUUUAUACCCGGUGCAGAUAUAGUGUUUAAACUCUAUGCAAUAAGUCUGAAUGCUCAUGUCAUCUUCUAUGGCACUUUAGAAUUGAUCUUUAUCUGGGACUUUGAAAGCCAGAAAUGUAAACUGUUCAACAAGUCAAAGGUGAAGAUGGCUCAAAACCUGGUUACGACUUCCUUUCUUUACCCAACGUGCUUGCUUGAUACCUUUUUACAGUUUGGGUGAGAGGAAUAUUGCCGGCUCUACUCCAUUAUCAGGGAACCUUUUGAAGGGAGCAGAGAUUUCGAGUGCGGAAGCAUUACCAUGUGAGUGUGAUAAUCUAAAAGAUAGCUUUCAAGUUGUACGCGGUCAUUCAUAUUGGAAUAGGUUGUUCAAGAGGCGGUUUCUUUUUCCGAGUGAAAUGCAGUUAUGUGCUGGAAUGGAGCUGCUGGAUUAAUGGUGAUUUUCAGGCUAUCCGAUCACCAGGAAUAAGAUUUCUACUUUUCAGAUUUGGUGGUUUCUUUAAAUAAAAAUUUAGAUUGGAUCAAAUCAAAGUAAUUUCAGAAUUUCCAGAACAUAAUUCAUUAUUCAUAUAAUUUACAAGUUUUUGAAAAUUUUCAACCUUUUUAAGUAUAUAAUGACAAUUUUGAAUUGAAAGUGCUUGAUGUUACUGGGUUUUCCAGUUCAA